GAUGAACGCUGGCGGCGUGCCUAAUACAUGCAAGUCGAGCGAACAGACGAGAGUGCUUGCACUCUCUGACGUUAGCGGCGGACGGGUGAGUAACACGUGGGUAACCUACCUAUAAGACUGGGAUAACUUCGGGAAACCGGAGCUAAUACCGGAUAAUAUUUAGCUUCGCAUGACGCAAUAGUGAAAGACGGUUCUGCUGUCACUUAUAGAUGGACCCGCGGUGUAUUAGCUAGUUGGUGAGGUAACGGCUCACCAAGGCAACGAUACAUAGCCGACCUGAGAGGGUGAUCGGCCACACUGGGACUGAGACACGGCCCAGACUCCUACGGGAGGCAGCAGUAGGGAAUAUUCCGCAAUGGACGAAAGUCUGACGGAGCAAUGCCGCGUGAGUGAAGAAGGUUUUCGGAUCGUAAAACUCUGUUGUAAGGGAAGAACAAGUACGUUAGUAACUGAACGUACCUUGACGGUACCUUACCAGAAAGCCACGGCUAACUACGUG
rnacentral:rRNA from 1 species